UGGGGAAUCUUGGACAAUGGGGGAAACCCUGAUCCAGCCAUGCCGCGUGAGUGAUGAAGGCCUUAGGGUUGUAAAGCUCUUUCGCCAGGGAAGAUAAUGACGGUACCUGGAUAAGAAGCCCCGGCUAACUCCGUGCCAGCAGCCGCGGUAAUACGGAGGGGGCUAGCGUUGUUCNGAAUUACUGGGCGUAAAGCGCACGUAGGCGGCUAUCCAAGUUGGGGGUGAAAUCCCUGGGCUUAACCCAGGAACUGCCUUCAAAACUGGAUGGCUAGAGUUCGAGAGAGGUGAGUGGAAUUUCCAGUGUAGAGGUGAAAUUCGUAGAUAUUGGAAAGAACACCAGUGGCGAAGGCGGCUCACUGGCUCGGUACUGACGCUGAGGUGCGACAGCGUGGGGAGCAAACAGGAUUAGAUACCCUGGUAGUCCACGCCGUAAACGAUGGGUGCUAGUUGUCAGGCAGCUUGCUGUUUGGUGACGCAGCUAACGCAUUAAGCACCCCGCCUGGGGAGUACGGUCGCAAGAUU
rnacentral:rRNA from 1 species